AAAACUUUAUCAAUUUCUUAUAUUUUAUCUGCUGCAAACAUCCUUCUAUUAUUCCACUCAGGACCACUCCCCAAUCCAAGAAACAGCUGGAUAGACUCGACCUAUUUCAGACUCAGCCAGACUUGCCAAGUCAUCAUAUUACAUGCGGUCUGUUGACUGAUAAGCCCGUUCUAAUAUCCCCAAUUGAUGGAGAGGAUUUUUGGCCUCAGCUAAAAUCUUCCGUUGACACUCUGCCCAGGCUGUUAUGAGGUCUCAUGUAGGCUGAAUACUUGCCCAAGUCAUAAAAGUCUACAUCAUCAAGGCAUCUGUGGACCAAGACCAGAGCUUCAUAUAUAAUCCAAAUGAAGAAAUCAAGAAGUUGGUUAAAUCAACAAUCCUGGAGCUCAGUGGGGUAAACUGAAACCGGAAACAUUUAAAUAUUGUUAGCAUGCAGGUGACAUUUAAAGCCACAAGACCAGAAAAGAUGAUCUACAAAGAGGGUAUAAUUUGAGAAAAUAAGAAUGUAAGCACUGAGUCUUAGGAAUAUUUAACAUGUGGACACAAGGAAGAGAAAAAUGACCCAGAAAAGAAAAUUGAAAGGCUUGGUAUGUGAGCAAGAAAGAAAACCUGGAAGUGUUUGGUUUCAGAAGCCAAAUGAAGACAGAAUUUCAAGAUAGUGGGACUGGCUUACUAUCUGGAAGUGCUAUCAACCAAAGUCUAAUACUAUGCAGAUAGCAACUAGCAUGGCCAAUUUUGGGAAUUCAAAGAAAAAAUUUUAAUGGAAGUGUUAAUUACUAUAAUUCAUUACAAUGAUACAUCAAAGGAGAUGAAUAAUACAAUUAUGUUUAUAAAUGUCCCAAUAAGAAAGAGUAAAGGAUAUUAAGAGUAGAAAUCUGAAACUCAGCGACUACUUUCAAACAUAGUACUUGAAAAGUUUUCUAAUUAUUUAAAAUAUAAUAUCCUAAUUUGUAUAACUGGAGUUAUAAGAGUCCUGAUUUAUAGAGGUGAGGUUGCAGUGGAAUCAUAUAGGUAAAGUUCUUAGGAUAGGGGUCAUAGAAAGUACUGAAUUUUUUUUUUUUUUUUGAGGCAGGGUUUCACUCUGUCACCCAGUCUGGAGUGCAGUGCUGUGAUCAUGGCUCACUGCAGCCUCAACUUCUGGACUCAGGUGAUUCUCUUGCCUCAGUCUCCCAAGUAGCUGGGACUAUGUGCACCACCAUGCCUGGCUAAUUUUAAUACUUUUUGUAGUGACAGGAUCUCGCUAUGUUGCCCAGGCUGGUCUAGAAUUUCUGGGCUCAAGCAAUCCGCCCACAUCAGCCUCUUAAAGGGCUGGGAUUACAGGUGUGAGACACUGUGCCUGGACUGAAUAAUCAUUUUUAAUUAAAAUUUGAUAAGAAUGAACUCCCAUUCCUAACUGUUAAAGAAGAUUAUUUUUCUUUAACAUGAUAAAAAGUCUUAAACUACAGCAAAA
rnacentral:lncRNA from 1 species